GAUGAACGCUGGCGGCGUGCCUAAUACAUGCAAGUCGAGCGAACGGACGAGAAGCUUGCUUCUCUGAUGUUAGCGGCGGACGGGUGAGUAACACGUGGAUAACCUACCUAUAAGACUGGGGUAACUUCGGGAAACCGGAGCUAAUACCGGAUAAUAUUUUGAACCGCAUGGUUCAAAAGUGAAAGACGGUCUUGCUGUCACUUCUAGAUGGAUCCGCGCUGCAUUAGCUAGUUGGUAAGGUAACGGCUUACCAAGGCAACGAUGCAUGGCCGACCUGAGAGGGUGAUCGGCCACACUGGAACUGGGACAGGGUCCAGACUACUACGGGAGGCAGCAGUAGGGAAUCUUCCGCAAUGGGCGAAAGCCUGACGGAGCAACGCCGCGUGAGUGAUGAAGGUCUUCGGAUCGUAAAACUCUGUUAUGAGGGAAGAACAUAUGUGUAAGUAACUGUGCACAUCUUGACGGUACCUAAUCAGAAAGCCACGGCUAACUACGUG
rnacentral:rRNA from 1 species